ensembl:lncRNA
CAAACGUGACGCAGAGUUUUUUCAGGCGCAUGUGCAUUUCUUGUUUUAUAUUGAUGAAGUUAUUGUCCGGUUGAAAUAUUAUAGAUCAUUUAGGCUAAAAAACAACCUUAGGAUUGAAUAUAAACAUCGUUUUACAUGUUUCUAUGAACUUCACGGAUACAAUUAGGAUUUUUGUCUGAUUGUUUUGACUGAGUUUGAGCCUGUGGAUUACUGAAGAAAAUUCGCUAACAAAACGGAGGUGCUCAGAAUUUUUUUUCCAAGACAAAGAAUUCAAAUACCCUCUUCAGUCCAGAUCCUGCUGGUUGUGAGAUAGCCGAACUGUUAAGGACUGCAAGAUAACAGAGACCAGUUUCAGCUGUGUUACAGGGCCUCUCUGGAGUACCUGGGCAGUUUUGACCACUAUGCAACAUAACCAUUCUGUGCUGAACAGCCUCUGGUUCUGAGUUUCCCAUCUCAGCCACCGUACCUAUCAACCCAACCACCUGUCAUGUCACCUGACCUGCCACAGCUAUCCUAUCACAGAGGAGGAGGGAGGUGCUACUGUCAUCAAGCAGCAAGUUCAACCAAUCACAGAGGUCUACUACUACUCGGAUUUACAAAAAACACCCUAAAGAGAUUGCUUUAAAAACAAAAAAUACCAUCUUGAUGACAACUUUUCAUACAGGAACGAGCGACAGUUCUGACUAAGUUCCGGUCUCUGUUCUGAAAUGCGCCAUAAGUUUCCCAACCAACUUCCCCUUUUGUCAAAGGCUACUGGUAGC